rnacentral:rRNA from 1 species
CGAAAGCCUGUCUCAGUUCGGAUUGGAGUCUGCAACCCGACUCCAUGAAGCUGGAUUCGCUAGUAAUCGCGCAUCAGCCACGGCGCGGUGAAUACGUUCCCGGGCCUUGUACACACCGCCCGUCAAGCCAUGGAAGCCGGGGGUGCCUGAAGUGCGCUGCCGCAAGGAGCGCCCUAGGGUAAAACCGGUGACUGGGGCUAAGUCGUAACAAGGUACC